rnacentral:misc_RNA from 1 species
GAUGAAGAACGUAGUGAAAUGCGAUACUUGGUGUGAAUUGCAGAAUCCCGUGAACCAUCGAGUCUUUGAACGCAAGUUGCGCCCGAAGCCAUUAGGCCGAGGGCACGCCUGCCUGGGCGUCACACGUCGUUGCCCCCCCAUCUACUCCUUCGGGAUUGCGGGGGGCGGAUGAUGGCCUCCCGUGCGCCUCGUCGCGCGGUUGGCAUAAAUGCCAAGUCCUCGGCGACGCACGCCACGACAAUCGGUGGUUGCGAAACCUCGGUUGCCCGUCGUGUGCGGUCGUCGCGCAUCGAGGGCUCGAAAAAAUUGUCGGGCUCCGGCUCGGCUUUCAACGCGACCCCAGGUCAGGCGGGGUUACCCGCUGAAUUUAAGCAUAUCAAUAAGCGGAGGAU